GAUGAACGCUGGCGGCGUGCUUAACACAUGCAAGUCGAACGUGAUCCAUUAGCAAUAGUGGUGAAAGUGGCGAACGGGUGAGUAACACGUAGGUAACCUGCCCUGAAGCGGGGGAUAACGAUUGGAAACGGUCGCUAAUACCGCAUGAGUCCAUCGAAGCGGGAGUGAGAUGGAGAAAACUGAGGUGCUUCAGGAGGGGCCUGCGUCCGAUUAGCUAGUUGGUGAGGUAACGGCUCACCAAGGCGACGAUCGGUAGCUGGUCUGAGAGGACGAUCAGCCACACGGGAACUGAGACACGGUCCCGACUCCUACGGGGGGCAGCAGUGAGGAAUAUUGGGCAAUGGGCGGAAGCCUGACCCAGCAACGCCGCGUGAAGGAUGAAGGCCUUCGGGUUGUAAAC
rnacentral:rRNA from 1 species